UCAAGUACUAUAUUAAGUAGGUAGG
rnacentral:piRNA from 1 species